AGCGUAGAGUGAAGCCAAGAAUGACUUGCCGGCGGAAUCAGAUUCCAUCUUAGUGAUUGAAUUAAUUAACCCGGCAAGUUAUCCUUGGCUGCAUUUUCCUCUCU
rfam:Cajanus cajan chromosome 11, whole genome shotgun sequence.